CCCGCCUGCGCCCUCCGAGUCGGCUGCUCGGCCCAACCCGACCACAGCGGGGAGUCAAAGAAGUCAAGGAGAGAGGGUGCCUUGGAUACUCUUGCAACUUCCAAGAGAACCUCUGUUGCUGAUUUCAAAGGAUGGGCAGGCUCCUACAAGAAGACCUGAUCCUCCAGGACAUGGCUGGCUUCGUUUCUUGCCAGGAACCUGUUCUGCUCUGUUCUCUUCAGAUUGAUGCCACUUUCUGGAAACUCCUGAUGUCAGAACACAGGACUGCAUCCUUCCUCUAAGCUCUGCAGAGUUCCUGGUGGUUGGAGAAAGACAGCUUCCAUGAGGACACACACACACCGACACAAAACCAUGUGAUGUUAUAUUGAUUUCUAAAAAACCUGAACCAGCUCUUAUUUAAUUCAGCAGUGUAGCUAUUGCAUAACACACCUAACUCUCUGAACACUGCUGGCUAGAAUCCUACACUGACACAAUAAAUCUGCAAACCUAUAUACACUUUCCUGCUAAUAAACCCCAUGGAGCUCAUUUGGACUUAUUUCUUAGAUGUACAUAGGAAUGAGUUGUGUAAGAGGAUCGGCACCAUUUAUGAGGUUGCUACUUAGGAAUGUUCUCUCUCACAUGGUAAAAUAAUUGUGGUUUUAAAAUAACAUAGUAUAUGUCUUUGGUUUUUUUUAAAAUCCAGUUUAGCUAAUGUAAAUUGGAACAUCAAGUAUACUUGAGCACUUGUUUACUUAGUGAAUUGCAUUCCCACUGCACAAUAAAAGACAUUGUACUCUC